UGGGGAAUAUUGCACAAUGGGCGCAAGCCUGAUGCAGCCAUGCCGCGUGUGUGAAGAAGGCCUUCGGGUUGUAAAGCACUUUCAGCGGGGAGGAAGGCGAUAAGGUUAAUAACCUUGUCGAUUGACGUUACCCGCAGAAGAAGCACCGGCUAACUCCGUGCCAGCAGCCGCGGUAAUACGGAGGGUGCAAGCGUUAAUCGGAAUUACUGGGCGUAAAGCGCACGCAGGCGGUCUGUCAAGUCGGAUGUGAAAUCCCGGGGCUCAACCUGGGAACUGCAUUCGAAACUGGCAGGCUAGAGUCUUGUAGAGGGGGGUAGAAUUCCAGGUGUAGCGGUGAAAUGCGUAGAGAUCUGGAGGAAUACCGGUGGCGAAGGCGGCCCCCUGGACAAAGACUGACGCUCAGGUGCGAAAGCGUGGGGAGCAAACAGG
rnacentral:rRNA from 1 species